rnacentral:rRNA from 1 species
UACGGAGGGUGCAAGCGUUAUCCGGAUUCACUGGGCUUAAAGGGUGCGUAGGUGGGCAGGUAAGUCAGUGGUGAAAUCUCCGGGCUUAACCCGGAAACUGCCGUUGAUACUAUCUGUCUUGAAUGUAGUGGAGGUGAGCGGAAUAUGUCAUGUAGCGGUGAAAUGCAUAGAUAUGUCACAGAACACCGAUUGCGAAGGCAGCUUACUGGAGUAUGAUUGACGCUGAGGCACGAAAGCGUGGGGAUCAAACAGG